ACUCUGGGCAAAUCCCCUCUUCCCUCUGGCAUCAGGACUUCUGGGGCUUGAAGACCCUGGGUCUGCGGGAAGCCCCUGCUGAGCGUCCCUCGCCUACCCCGUGGCCAGUGGAAACCACCUUAUCUAUGUGACAAAGCUCGGGCCAUCAGUGGCAAGGUAGAUUGGCAUCACGUACCUUUGAUACAACAACCUGAGAAGGACGUCACUUCUGCGAUAUUCCUGCCAAAAAUGCAUCUCCGCAUUCCGAUCGUGAGAACAUCCUGGGCACACCCAAACUGAGAGACACCAUACAAAGUGACUGGUCAGUGCACUCAAAGGCAAAAAGCUCAUGGAAGGCAACAGAAGACAGGAGAAGUGACAGCUAAAAGCAGCGUGGAAUCCUGGAAGGGACAAAGAACACGAGCAGAGAAACUGUAGAAGCUGAGUGAGGGCAGCGGUCCAGCUUGCGCUGUUUUGCUGGGCCUCAGGUUUUCCUUAGGAUUCCGUGUGUGUUCCCCGCCUGGCCCCUCCGCAGCGACUCUGCUGUCAGUGGCUGCCCCAGGGUGGAGAGUGACCUACCUCCGGCUUCUCCUGUCCCGGCUUCUCCUGUGCCAGCCGGUCAGGCACACUGACAAACUUAGCCUUCCGUUCUGUUGGUCUGUGAUGACCGUUUCCACGUCCUGCUUUCUGAGAGCAUUUGCCUGGUGUAGACGUCCCCGUUUUCAGCGGUUAUGCGUCCCUCUAGUUUCGGUGAUGCCCUGAGGUUUACUUCCUGCAUUUUUAAGCCCACGUUUCCCCAGCACUCAUGUGUGGCCAGCGUCUGAUUCUUCCUCCAGAGCAAGACAGGGAAGCCACUGCACUUCAGCUGCCUUCACAAGUCUCCUCUGCCACCCCCGCUGAGGCCGUCUGGAAGUUUAAUUCUAGGCUAUUAUUAAAUUUCUAUAAAAUUGUUUCAACUUUACUGAGAUAUAAUUCACAAAUAGGAAUUGUGUAUAGUUAAGGUGUAUGACUUGAUGUUCUGAUACACGCUGUGAAUGAUCACUGCAGUCAAGCUAUUUCACAUGCUCACACCUCACAGUGACUACCAAGUUGGUGAAAAGAGUAACUGCGGUGUUUGCAAUUAGAAGCAAUUAUUUUUGCACCAACCUAAAAUAUUUUCUUUUUUUUUUUUUUUUUGUCGCCCAGCCUGGACUGCCGUGGUGAAAUCUUGGCUCACUGCAGCCUCUGCUUCCCAGGUUCAAUCAAUCUUGCCACCUCAGCCUCCCCAGUAGCUGGGACUAUGGGCACGUGCCACCAUGUCCAGCUAGUUUUUUUUGUUUUUUUUUUUUUUUGUAUUUUUAGUAGAGAUGGGGUUUCGCCAUGUUGCCCAGACUGGUCUUGAACUCCUGGCCUCAAGUGAUCCACCCACCGUCGGCCUCCCAAAGUGCUGGGAUUACAGGCAUGAGCCACCGCACCAGCUUCUUUUAUUUUCUUUGUGUGUGUUGAGAACACUUAAGAUCUAUCCUCUCAGCCCAUGUCCAGCAUCCAGUACAGCAUUGUUAACCAUGGCCACCUAGGACAGCGCUCCCCAGAAACUGAAUUUGCCAGCACCUUGAUCGUGGACUUCCAGCCUCCAGAACAGCGAGAAGAAUCGCUUCUAGGUUUUGACCAGCCGGCCUGUGGCAUUUUGCUACAACAGCCUGGGCAGCCUGCAGUGCUCUGUGCUUUGUUCUCUUUCAUUUUGUUUUGUUUUCUGUAAUUCACCUUUGAGAAACUCGUUCAGGAAGGAUGCAUGGGUGACAUUUUCUGCAUCCUCACAUUUUGUCACUGGGUGUGGCCGGGUCUGUGAGUCUAGACACAAAGCCAGUCACCUGGGGACGCUGCCACCUGAAGGCCUGCGUGGCCGGGUCUGUGACUGUAGACACAAAGCCAGUCACCUGGGGACGCUGCCACCUGAAGGCCUGCGUGGCCGGGUCUGUGACUCUAGACAAAAAGCCAGUCACCUGGGAACUCUGGGACACCCUCUUCUCUCACCCAUUGCUGUGGGGAAGCCUGGGGAUGGGUUUUCUUGUUUUGGUUUUUUAUCAUGUUGGUGUUUUGUUUUGUUUUUUUUUUGAGAUGGAGUUUCCCUCUUGUCUCCCAGGCUAGAGUGCAAUGGCGUGAUCUCGGCUCACUGCAACCUCCGCCUCCUGGGUUCAAGCGAUUCUCCUGCCUCAGCCUCCUGAGUAGCUGGGAUUACAGGCAUGCACCACCACGCCUGGCUAAUUUUUGUAUUUUUAGUAGAGACGGGGUUUCACCAUGUUGGUCAGGCUGGUCCCGAACUCCUGACUUCAGGUGAUCCACGCACCUCGGCCUCCCAAAGUGCUGAGAUUACAAGCAUGAGCCAUCGCACCCAGCCCAUAGUGGUUUUUAAAUCUUUCCUUUUGCCCUCAUUGUUCUAAAAUUUUAUGAAGAUGAAGACAUAUCUCGUGUCUCAUUCACGGAGAGCCGAUUCUGUAACAGCCGCUGCUCUGGGCGCCGGGAGAAACCGUGAGGAGCAGGCAGAGCUUCCGUCGCGGGGCCCACAGGGCCCAGGUGUGCAUUAUUUCCCUCCCAUCAAUCCUGUUCUUCUUCUGAAACUCUCAGUGUGCAGAUGUUGGAAUGUCUGGCUUCGUCCUCCAUUUCCUUUUUUUUUUUUUUCAUACUUUCCCUCUAUCUCGCUCUGCUGUGUACAAAAAAACUUGGGCAUUUUCAAGUACAAAGCAAAGGAAGCAAUAAAGCAUCCCCAGAUAUUUGAGGAAAGCUGACAUCACAAAGUGGAGAAUUCCUUGACUGUGUGUUCCAGGCACAAGUUCGUUCUUCAGCCUUUUCUUCCUGUUAUUCACCCCAUCACUUUUUAAUUUUUUUUGGAUGUCACAUUUUUCAUAUUUAUAUUUUCAGUUCCGUUUUUAAGGCUGUAUCUUCUCUAUGGAUAAAUAAACCUGUGAAGACGUACUGCCCUUUUCUCGAGGGUGUUGUUUGCUCUGCUUCCUUGAUACCUGCUGACUUUGGGGGCCCCUUUUUGGUAGUGAUUGGUUUUCCUCAAACAUUUGAUGGUUCUGGGUUGUCUAGUGAUUCCAUGAAAAUUGGUUGGCUGCAUAUUUAACCAAUUUUAGGUUAAAAUUGGUUGGCACCCAAAAUAACAGUGGCUUUAACACACAGUAUUCCCUUCUCACAUAAGAAAGGACUCUGGAGGGCGGGGCCCUAAAGAGCCUGUCACCUCCCACUCCACCACACCCGGCGGGUGCCUCAUCCUCAUGGCCCCAGAAGGC
rnacentral:lncRNA from 1 species